CCUACGGGGUGCUGCAGUGAGGAAUAUUGGUCAAUGGACGCAAGUCUGAACCAGCCAUGCCGCGUGCAGGAAGACUGCUCUAUGAGUUGUAAACUGCUUUUGUACGAGGGUAAACGCAGCUACGCGUAUCUGUCUGAAAGUAUCCUACGAAUAAGGAUCGGCCAACUCCGUGCCAGCAGCCGCGGUAAUACGGAGGAUGCGAGCGUUAUCCGGAUUCAUUGGGUUUAAAGGGUGCGCGGGCGGGCCUUUAAGCCGGCGGUGAAAUCGCGGGGCUCAACCCCGCCGGGCCGUCGGAACUGGGGGCCUUGAGUGCGGCGGAGGCAUGCGGAAUGCGCGGUGUAGCGGUGAAAUGCAUAGAUAUCGCGCAGAACCCCGAUUGCGAAGGCAGCGUGCCGUGGCGCCACUGACGCUGAGGCACGAAAGCGCGGGGAUCGAACAGGAUUAGAUACCCUUGUAGUC
rnacentral:rRNA from 1 species